GUUAUGGGUUAACAGACUACUACUGUUUUGUUCGGCUUAGCGGUCGAAUGACCGUAUAUGACGGCGUUUAGUCACCGUUAGUUUCUGGUCAAACUUGGCGUGAAAGUGGGUGAGAGAGACUUCUUGAAUCAGUCGGGUCAGAGGACUCCGGUUUGUUCUUUGGAGUUUGGAGGGCAUCGCUCACAAUCAUUUCAUUUCACCAACACAAGCACUCCCGAAGAAGGCCACCACCGCGUCAGAGAAAAAUGACAUAUAUUGACUCGGACUUAGACCGGAAAAAGGAGAAAGCAAAGGACAAAGAGGGAAGAAAAAAUGAUAGUUUGCCUUAGACGCCGCCGAAGUGGCAGGUCAGAGCUAGGGUUACAGCUCUCUUUUGGUGUCUCUCUUUCUCUCUACCCAAUCCUAACUCUAAACCCAUCCCCUAGAAGCUUUUUAUACUUUUCUUACUUCUCAACUUCUACUCUUGUUCUUUAAGAAUAUACAUUGUGCUUUGCACGGUUCGUUUGUCAGUCUUUUCCAUGUAUGAUCUUUUUCUUUUAUCUUUUGUUGUCUCAAGGCUUUUUGCCUUCAUUUGUUUUCAAGGAUCAUUUCUACUUAAAUCUCUAGGACAGGAGUGUUUCUCUUUUUAUAACCAUUCCCUUUUCUUGAUUGCUUUUCAUUCUUUAUUAUUAUUUUUUUGGUUUAUAAACCCAAAUCAUUAGGCUUUUGCCUUCAUUGGUGUUUAGUUUUUCAUUUUCUCCUCUUGCAACCUCCACUCCAUGAUCAAUCUUUCUUUGUUGAAAUAUAAUUUGUUUCUUUUAAACUUCACACUCAUAUUUCUUCCCGCUUCGGAACCAGAAUCGGGAUCAGAAUCUUGUAGAAGCUUAUGGAAUUCUGCUUCUAAAAUGCUUCUAAAAUAUUCUUUUAAAAACAUGUUGGAAGCUUAUGAUUCCGUUUUGGAAUCACACUUCCAUUCUUUAAAAAAAUUAUCUUUAUGCAUUGAGGUUUUUAUUAAAGAUAAUCAUAUAUUCAAAAAUAUUAUGACAAUUAAUUAUAAAGUACUAAAUAAUUAGUAUAAUAAUGUAUUUUAAAUUUAAUUUAUGUGUAUUUUCAAAAUUUUAAUAUGAAAUCAUUUCAAAAUUAUUAUAAAUGAAUAAAAGCUUUAUAUUAAAUUGAAAUCAUAUAAUUUUUAGUUCUAGAUUUUUAAAAAUCUAAUAACAUAGACUUAGAAAAAGCAUGUUAGUAACAUGGACAUGAGAUGUAACAAAGCAUGUUUCUUAAAAAAAAUUUUUGUUCAGCAGUAUGUCUCUUAAUCCAAAGUGUUUACAAAAUUAAUAAUAUAACAAGUUAAUUUCUGCAAUAAUAUAAAUGAAUACUUUGAUGUGAUUAAAAGUAUGAUGAUAUGUAAAGCAAUACAAUUUUGGAAUAAUUAAAAUGAAUGUUUGUGUGUUUCGUAUAAUAAAUAUCAUAAAAUGCAUCAACCAUUAUUUUCAUUAUUUGAUAUAUAACAAACAAAUAUAUUUUAAACAAUAUUGAAAUUGCAGCUUCAAAUUGCAUAAUAACUUGUAUAAAGUCUUGACGAAUUCACAUUUAUAAAAAUUGAUUACCAUUUGAAAUUAGUUAUAGAUCAUGUCAAAUAUCACAUAUUGUCAUAUUACAUAUAUAAAAGAAAAUUAUAAAUAAUACACACCCUUAAACCUAAAUUAACCUUUGUUACUAUUAGGAAUAAAAUAGAACAUAUAAUUGUAUAUUUUAACGCACUUUUAUAUAUUUUCGAUUAUUGUUUUGGAACUGAAAAUAGACAGCCCUUUGUCAAAAUCUAGUUUGCAAAUUAAAAUGAUUGCAUAUGUAUAUGUAUAAAUCCAGCUGGUUGUAUUGGGCCACAAUGCUUUAGAUAUUGCCGGAUUUCCAGUCUGCAGCUCUGGCUCUAGACAUAAAUUUCAAAAAUUAACUAAGCAAGUGUAAGAUGAUGAAAAAAAUAAUUGUAUAUGCAUAUAAAGAACUCGCUUCUUUUUUAACAACAAUAAAGAAUUCACCCAACUUUUGAGAAUUCAUAAUUGUACUAUCCAAGAGGUUCCCUAUUAUUUUACUAUUACAAUAAAAUUACACAAAACAAAAAAGAAAGUAAGAAGUGUGUAUCUUAACGGAAAAAAGCUUCCAAAGAAUAUUACAGAAAAAAAAGAGCUUCCAAA